UCUACGUUCUAAUUGAAAGACUCUGUAGU
rnacentral:sRNA from 1 species